CGUCUAUAUACGUAUAGCAUAUCAAUAAGCGGAGGAAAAGAAACUAACUAGGAUUCCCUCAGUAACGGCGAGUGAAGCGGGAAGAGCUCAAAUUUGAAAUCUUCAAGGUUUUACCUUGACGAAUUGUAGUUUAAAGAAGUGUUUUCUGUUGGAGUUUUGGUAAAAGUUCUUUGGAAUAGGACAUCAUAGAGGGUGAGAAUCCCGUAUUUGACCAUUAUUUCCAGCUUUGUGAUACACUUUCAAAGAGUCGGAUUGUUUGGGAAUGCAGUCCAAAAUGGGUGGUAAAUUUCAUCUAAAGCUAAAUACUGGCGAGAGACCGAUAGCGGACAAGUACCGUGAGGGAAAGAUGAAAAGAACUUUGAAAAGAGAGUUAAACAGUACGUGAAAUUGUCAAAAGGGAAGCGUUUGACACCAGUGUUGUUUUCUCGAAAAUCAAUUAAAAAUGGCAGGAUUUUGUGUUGUAUUGACUUUAUCAGCUUUCUGCACUUUUUUCUUGUCUUUUUUAAUGCACUUUUCGUUUAACAAGUCAACAUCAAUUUCUUUUGUUGUAAAAGGGUCAUUGGAAGGUGGCUUUCUUUUCGGAGAAAGUGUUUAUAGGCCUUUGGCCUCUGCAAUCGGAGAGAUUGAGGUCUGCAGCGUAGAUCCUUCGGGGUUAGAUACAUUUGUGCUAAGUUAUAGCCUUUCAUAGACAACUUGUUGACUAUGAUCAGUCAUGUAGCUUACUCGCUUAUGUCUAUUUUACCUACGCUUAGGAUGUUGACGAUCAGCUGAGCGCG
rnacentral:rRNA from 1 species